rnacentral:tRNA from 1 species
GCCUUAGUAGUAUAAAAAUUACAUUGGUCUUGUAAACCAAAAAUGGAGUACCAUUCUCCCUAAGACA